UACGGAGGGGGCGAGCGUUAUUCGGAAUUAUUGGGCGUAAAGAGCUCGUAGGCGGCUUGUCACGUCGGGUGUGAAAGCCCGGGGCUUAACCCCGGGUCUGCAUUCGAUACGGGCAGGCUAGAGUGUGGUAGGGGAGAUCGGAAUUCCUGGUGUAGCGGUGAAAUGCGUAGAUAUCAGGAGGAAUACCGAUGGCGAAGGCAGGUCUCUGGGCUGACACUGACGCUCAUGCACGAAAGCGUGGGGAGCAAACAGG
rnacentral:rRNA from 1 species